rnacentral:lncRNA from 1 species
GUCUCUGUCUAUGUUCCAUCUCAAGAUCAUCAUCAAUCACUAAAUUUGGCACUUCUCCCAUUCUGAUAGCAUUGUUGCUUUCUCUUAUGUGCUUUACGUAUACAGGUGAGUCAGCGUCCAACAUGUUUAUCCCCUCUGUCAUCAUCCAUAAAAAUACAAAGUAACUUUUUUGUUCUUAUCUUUCAAUUCUAACAGCAAGUCUAACUGAUUUUGUACAUAGAAAUGAAUAUUUCCUCCAUUCACUUUUACUUGUUAAAAAUAAAUUUUCAUUUACUUGUCACUUUUAACAUAUUAAGAAUGACAAUUACUUUUUUUUUGGUUGCAUGUUAUAUCGUUAGCAUUAAAUAUUUAUUCUCCAAAUUAAUUGAAUAAUGUGGUAAUAUGGUUUCAAACGUAAUAAGUAAAAGUGAUCGGAGGGAGUAUUUUGGAUUUGCUUCAAAAUGUAACAUUGCUAAUGUAGCCGUUUCACUGAAUCGAAAAGAAGAGAAUCAAGAUUACACAAAUGGAUUAUGAUAAUCUUGAAUUUUUACAUUUUAUUUUGGGGGGGUACGGUUUGAUUAGUUUUGAUGGUCAAACUUCAAGUUGGUGGUCUAGAAGAAUUAAAUAUUUAAUUAAUGUAUUCUGUUGUCUUAGGAUCAUUGAUAAUUUCGCCUGCUUAAUGUUUUUUAAGUAACCAUAUGCAUUUAUAAGGACUGGUAUAUUGAUAUUGUAGAAAUUUGGUGCUUAAACUGUGCCUUUACUGAUUUUUUUUGUUGGUUCUUGAUGAGUUAGUUCACAUUGGUUAAUAUUAGAUUCUACCAAAAUGUUACAUUUAUAAUGCUAUGGACAUCAAAAUUGUACGGUGAUACUGUGGCUUAUGCAUUUUUUUUUGGCCAGGUUGAUGAAUUAGUUUAGAUUAUUGGUUUGUUGUUGGCUCAGUCAUGAAAACAAGUUCUAAAAAUUUUACUUGCAUAGACAAGUAAAACGAAGAACAAGCUCUCGAGAAAUUAAACGACAAAUAAUUUUUGUUUGAUAACCUUGAGAUUGUUUGCUGAAUAUUGUUGCAGAUGCUUAUGAUGUACUCGAUCCCAAUGGAAAUAUUACCGUCAAGUGGGAUGUCAAGUCUUGGACUCCAGAUGGAUAUGUUGUGAGUGUAUUUUAUCUUAUUUUACUUAUGAAAUGUUCUUCAACAUCUUUCAACAAUGGGGAGAUCAGAUGACUAUAGAAGGGACAUUUGUUGUAUCUCUUUCUGCAGAGCACAACGGCCCCCCCUUAUAUUAACUUUCCAAUCUAAGCAAUUUUAAUUCAUCAAAGGUUUGGGGAACCAUAAGACUAAGAUGAAAUUGAUAUUUUGUUUUUUUACAAGUUCUCUUUGAGUUCGCAUUAUUUCCAUAUCUAUUUGAAUUAGUGCAAACAUGGGAGUUUAAUACUAUAAUUUUUUUUCUGUAGGAAUAUUACUUGUCAUUUAACAAUCAUCACAGCUUAUAAUGAACUUUACCACAGUUGUGUUUGACCCUAACUGUGUUUCUUUCUACUUGAAUUAACCAGGCUAUUAUUACAAUAUAUAACUUCCAAAAAUAUCGUCAUAUUCAAGCACCGGGGUGGCAACUGAGUUGGACAUGGGCAAAAAAAGAGGUAAUUUGGAGUGCAGUUGGCAGUCAAGCCACAGAGCAAGGAGACUGUUCAAGAUUCAAAGGGAACAUACCUCAUUGUUGCAAAAGAGACCCAACCAUUGUCGACUUGUUUCCAGGAACUCCGUAUAACCACCAAAUUGCAAAUUGCUGCAAAGGUGGAGUGAUAAGCUCGUGGAUUCAAGACCCAGAGAAAGCUGUUAGUGCAUUUCAACUUA